GUAGAGAGUUGCUUCUCAUGUUUUGUGAAUAGCCGUCACAUGAGGAAUAAAAGCAUUUAACAACUUGGACUAAUUCUAUAUUUGUUCCUUCCAAAUAAGGAAAAAAAGGAUGUAAAAGAAUAUAUUUUUCUUCUAAGUUGAUGAAUCUCCUUUAUUGAUCAAUAUGUGAUAUUCCAACUCCUCAUCACUAUUGAAAUCCAGAUGAUAUUGCGAUUAAUUCAUUUUUGCCUAAACUCAACUAUUUAAACAAAACUAGAUCUUCAUUCUUUAUUUGUUUUUUUCCUUUUUACUAUUUUAACUGAGUAAAUAUCAUUUCUUAAUACAUUUGGUUAAUUUUGGGGUUUCACUUGCACGCAAUAGCCUACACCGAAGGAGACAAGUACUAUGGGGCAAAAGCAAUUAUUAAUGUUUGGGAACCUAAAAUACAGCAGCAUCAUAAUGAGUUCAAUUUGUCCCAAAUUUGGUUACUGGGUGGUUCAUUUGGUGAAGAUCUCAAUAGCAUUAAAGCUGGUUGGUACGUAUAUUUUUCUCCAAAUUACUUUGUCGAUCAUAAUUUGUUGCAUUCAUCUAACGGAUUAGAAUGCAUGUUAUUUCAAGUUAGCCUUGAUCUCUACAGGGAUAACAACACAACCAUUUUUGAAUACAUACCUAUAGACAAUUUAAAAAAGAAUGCCAGCUCAUAUUAAAUAGAAGUUAAUUAUAAGUACAAAAACUCAAAGAAAGCAUUUAAUGGACGUUCUUAAUAGUUAGUCUUGUGUUUUGGAACAUGCUUAUAUAUGUGACAAUUAUGCUUCUCUUCCAAUCCAAUUUAGCACAUCGAGUAAAAGCUUCAAUUGGCACCCGAUGUUGUAUGUCUCUAAUAACUGGAGCUAAUUGGUUAUAUGUAGAGGAAAUUUUACUAUUAGUUCAUCUCAAGCAUAAAUAAAAUAGUUAAUCCAUAAGCAAGCUGGAGUAUAGUAUGAAUCCUACUAUAAAUUUCUCUGUCAAAAUGAUUUUUCUUAUAUUUGUAGUUUUUUUCAUGGGACAAGCUUUGAGAAAUCAUUUGGCAAUGAUGAGAGAAGAGAAAGAAAAUCCCAUUUUGAGAAUUCUUAAAAUGAAAGAACGACGAGAAUCGAUUCCCUAAAAAAGAAAGCACUGAACGUGUCUUCAAAGUCAAGCAUUCUCUCAAGAAGAGCAGCAGAAGUAAGAGUGGUGUUAAUGGCAACUUCGUUUCAUUUGAGGAUAUUCGGGAUGCUGAUGAGCUGCAAGCUAUUAAGGCAUUUCGGCGAGCCUUGAUGCUAAUUGCCAAACAAGUUUGAUGAUUAUCAUAUGAUGUUGAGGUUAUUAUACAACACUUUUGCUACUUUUAGUCAAAUGUUCGCAUGUACGGAUGGAAAUAUAAAUUGUAUCCUAGUUUAACAUUUAGAUGUCCUAAUUUUAUCCUCGUUACUAUGGAGGUAACUAGACAUCCCUUCCUCCUUUAGUAGGACAAUUUAUGAUUUUGCUGCAUUACUUUAUAGUUUUUCCUAUAUUGCAGUCGGUGGUUAAGAUUUGAAGGAUUGCAUUUAAUAGUCUUUCCAGAUAAGUUACUUUUCUAUUUCUUGCAAACAUUUUAGUAGAUGGUUGGAAAAGUAUGCAACUAUUCGAACUUUUGUCGAUAAUUAUCCUGAAGUAACAUUUCGGUCUUUUAUUUGAUAAGAGAUAUUAGGUUUUGUGUAGUCUUGGUAGUGUAAUAUAUUGUGUCAUCCAAAUGUUGCAGACAUUUCAUAAAAUAUUUAUCAUCAAGAUGGCCCAGGUAUUAUGCUACUGUAGAAUAUUGUAAAGAGUUUCUUGAUCCUAGGGCCACCACUAAAUACAUGUAUGUUGCUAUUUCUUCCUUUUUUCCAUCUGGAAACAUUAUUUUUCUCACUUAAAUGGCUGACUUUAAUUACUCGGUCUAUCUUUUUUGGAAUAUCUCACAUGUUCUUGGAAACAAAUAUAAGAACAAGUUGCUUGAAAUAAAAGAUACCAAGUGCAAAACAAUGGAAACCGUUGUUGCAACUUGUGAACAUUGAAAUUUAUUUCGAGAUUCUGACGCAUAUUUUUGGGUGUGUGUAGUGCUCCGAAUUCUUUGGUGGAACAUAUAUCUUUGCAGACCAAGGGGUUUGCCUUCGGUCAGGUAAACGACCAAGGAAAAUUCCCCGAGAUACAAAAGGUCCUUCCUAACAUGGGAGCUAUUAAAUUGAUCUACAAAGAUAAUAUAUAAAUACUUGUGUUAUAAUUUUGAUCAUGUUAAAAAUAAUAAAUGGCUCGAAAUCAUGUUGCAGAUAGUGCUUGAUGGUAAAGCACAACUGCCAGGAAGGUGGUUGAAAAUCUUAACAACAACGGAAAGAUAGUUUAUGCUAAGCCCCACUACUUGAUUGUAUAGACUAUGUCUGUUGUGCAUAUGAUUAGGCACAACUACACAAUAUUUAUGUUUUAUGUGAGAUUUUAUUUUUAUUUGGUCGUUGAAGCAGGUAAAAGGCAGUGACAUCUCAACUGUUGAAUUUGGUUCUGAAGAUGAAGAUAUUUCUUCACCAAAAGCUAUUAGGAGUUACUCGCACCUUUGAUUGACUCAUGUUCGUGAGGAGGUAUGGUCAAGCCUGACAAUUUCAAGAUUAGAUAUUUAAUUAUUUGCUAUUGAAAAUAAUGUUUUCUAUAAGUUUAAUUGAAACCUCCCUUAUUUAGUCUUGAGUCUGGUGGUAGCUUGUGCAAAUAUUUAAUUUGGUGCUCGUAGGUCAGUUAGUAUUUGCUUAAUUGCAACACAAGUGCAAAAUUAUCAAUUGCUUGAUAUCAUCUCUUUGAUUGGUUUAAAAGCAUCUAUAUAUACCCUAAAAAGGUGUCCAGUUUCAUGGAAUUCAAAUUUAGAUAAAUUUUUAUAGGUCGGGUUGUGCAAUCUUUUGCUACUAAAAAAUCAAGUAAAGUGACAUUAUUCAAGAGUUCAUUAGUUAUUUGAUAAUUAUUAUUUAUAAUGUCUAUCAUUUUAUUUAUGAUAUAAGGUGCAAAUUCUUCAUGAAAUAUAACUAAGCACACAAUUUCUUGUAAGAAAUAUUUUUCCUAUAAAACUAAUUUUCCUUACUUAAGAAAGGGAUAUCUUUACCAUAUAGAGUGUGAACACAGCAUAGAAAAGUGUUGACACUUUCUCAAUCCCUCACAAAAAUUAAUGUGGAGGAUCAACCUUUCUCUUUUGAUUAUCUCAGGUUAAAGCUCAUGGAAACUCUAGCUUGGUAAAUUAUCACGAUAUGAUGAGUAUGUUCCUAUGGUUGACAAAGUUGUUGAUUCUGGAUGGAAAAAGCAAACAUCACUUUCAAAACCUUAUGUUGUUAAAGGUUAGUUGCUUUAGAAGUUCCA
rnacentral:lncRNA from 1 species